GUGUCCGCUUCAGCAGCAUAUAUACUAAAAUUGGAACUAUACAGAGAAGAUUAGUAUGGCCCCUGUGCAAAGAAGACAUGCAAAUACGUGAAGUGUUCCAUAUUUUU